UUGCUAUGAUGAUUCUCUUAACGGUUGAUAGUGUUCAUGGAAUGCUUGAUGAAAUUUCGACAGUUAUGUCGAUCCUGAGCGGUUACCUGAGCAA